UGGGGAAUCUUGCGCAAUGGGCGAAAGCCUGACGCAGCCAUGCCGCGUGAGUGAUGAAGGCCUUAGGGUUGUAAAACUCUUUCACCGGGGACGAUAAUGACGGUACCCGGAGAAGAAGCCCCGGCUAACUUCGUGCCAGCAGCCGCGGUAAUACGAAGGGGGCUAGCGUUGCUCGGAAUUACUGGGCGUAAAGGGCGCGUAGGCGGAUCAGCAAGUUGGGGGUGAAAGCCCGGGGCUCAACCUCGGAAUUGCCUUCAAAACUGCUGAUCUAGAGUACGGGAGAGGUGUGUGGAACUCCGAGUGUAGAGGUGAAAUUCGUAGAUAUUCGGAAGAACACCAGUGGCGAAGGCGACACACUGGCCCGUUACUGACGCUGAGGCGCGAAAGCGUGGGGAGCAAACAGGAUUAGAUACCCUGGUAGUCCANGCUGUAAACGAUGAUUGCUAGUUGUCGGCAGGCAUGCCUGUCGGUGACGCAGCUAACGCAUU
rnacentral:rRNA from 1 species